GAUGAACGCUGGCGGUAUGCCUAACACAUGCAAGUCGUACGAGAGUUUUUAACUCUAGUGGCGGACGGGUGAGUAACACGUGAGAAUUUGCCUUUAGAGGGGGAUAACAAUUGGAAACGAGUGCUAAUACCCCAUAUGCUUUUGAGUGAAAUGGAUUUUAUCCGCCUAGAGAGAAGCUCGCGGCUGAUUAGCUUGUUGGUAAGGUAAGAGCUUACCAAGGCGACGAUCAGUAUCUGGUUUGAGAGGACGAUCAGACACACUGGAACUGAGACACGGUCCAGACUCCUACGGGAGGCAGCAGUGGGGAAUUUUCCGCAAUGGGCGAAAGCCUGACGGAGCAAUACCGCGUGAGGGAAGACUGCCUAUGGGUUGUAAACCUCUUUUUUCAGGGAGGAAUAAAAUGACGUGUACCUGAAGAAUAAGCAUCGGCUAACUCCGUG
rnacentral:rRNA from 1 species